CUGGGCAACAAGACUGAAAUUCCACCUUAAAAAACAAAAAAAGAAAACCUAGCUGUCUCUUUACAAAAAGUGAAUCCUGAAUCCAGACCCAUGUGAUUUACCACUUAUCUGAUCCAUUAAGCCUCACCUAGAUUAUGGCAGGAGCCUUAUCUCUGACCUUUCUUCCUCUUCCCACCUUCUAGGUUCAGUCACCGCGGUCCCACCCAGCACUCAGGGGCCACAAACUGGGGAAACACCCGCGUCACCGAUACACAGCCGCUACUAGAGACCCCGGAAGUCUCGGCCUUACGUUACGUGCACACGUGGAAAUGCCUUCUUUCCGAGUGCUCACUGGCUCUGACCGGCUGUCGUUUAACGCAGAGCUUUCUGGGUAAUGUAGUUCCCCACUUUCCACGGCGCUAAAGAGGGUGAUACCCAGAGUCCGUCUGCAGGAAAAGCCCGCCAUCAGGUCAGGGGCUCUCCUUAAAAAGCGCACCCUUCUGGCCGGGCGCAGUGGCUCAAGCCUGUAAUCUCAGCACUUUGGGAGGCGGAGGUGGGCGGAUCACGAGGUCAGGAGAUGGAGACCAUCCUGGCUAACACGGUGAAACCCCGUGUCUACUAAAAA
rnacentral:lncRNA from 1 species